CGUAGGUGGCAAGCGUUGUCCGGAAUUAUUGGGCGUAAAGCGCGCGCAGGCGGUCCUUUAAGUCUGAUGUGAAAGCCCUCGGCUCAACCGAGGAAGGUCAUUGGAAACUGGAGGACUUGAGUGCAGAAGAGGAAAGUGGAAUUCCAAGUGUAGCGGUGAAAUGCGUAGAGAUUUGGAGGAACACCAGUGGCGAAGGCGACUUUCUGGUCUGUAACUGACGCUGAGGCGCGAAAGCGUGGGGAGCAAACAGGAUUAGAUACCCUGGUAGUCCACGCCGUAAACGAUGAGUGCUAAGUGUUAGGGGGUUUCCGCCCCUUAGUGCUGCAGCUAACGCAUUAAGCACUCCGCCUGGGGAGUACGGUCGCAAGACUG
rnacentral:rRNA from 1 species